ACGACGCUGGCGGCACGCUUAACACAUGCAAGUCGAACGGAGAAUAUUGGUUACUGAGUAUCUAGUGGCGGACGGGUGAGUAACACGUGAGCAACCUACCUUUGAGAGAGGAAUAGCUUCUGGAAACGGAUGGUAAUACCUCAUGACAUAUACUUAAGGCAUCUUAGGUAUAUCAAAGAUUUAUCACUCAGAGAUGGGCUCGCGUCUGAUUAGCUAGAUGGUGAGGUAACGGCUCACCAUGGCGACGAUCAGUAGCCGGACUGAGAGGUUGAACGGCCACAUUGGGACUGAGACACGGCCCAGACUCCUACGGGAGGCAGCAGUGGGGAAUAUUGCACAAUGGGGGAAACCCUGAUGCAGCGAUGCCGCGUGGAGGAAGAAGGUUUUCGGAUUGUAAACUCCUGUCUUAAAGGACGAUAAUGACGGUACUUUAGGAGGAAGCUCCGGCUAACUACGUGCCAGCAGCAGC
rnacentral:rRNA from 1 species